rnacentral:rRNA from 1 species
GACGAACGCUGGCGGCGUGCUUAACACAUGCAAGUCGAACGGAAAGGCCCUGCUUUUGUGGGGUGCUCGAGUGGCGAACGGGUGAGUAACACGUGAGUAACCUGCCCUUGACUUUGGGAUAACUUCAGGAAACUGGGGCUAAUACCGGAUAGGAGCUCCUGCUGCAUGGUGGGGGUUGGAAAGUUUCGGCGGUUGGGGAUGGACUCGCGGCUUAUCAGCUUGUUGGUGGGGUAGUGGCUUACCAAGGCUUUGACGGGUAGCCGGCCUGAGAGGGUGACCGGCCACAGUGGGACUGAGAUACGGCCCAGACGCCUACGGGAGGCAGGAGGGGGGAAUAUGGCGCAAUGGGCGGAAGCCUGAGGCAGCAACGCCGCGUGCGGGAUGACGGCCUUCGGGUUGUAAACCGCUUUCGCCUGUGACGAAGCGUGAGUGACGGUAAUGGGUAAAGAAGCACCGGCUAACUACGUG